rnacentral:rRNA from 1 species
ACGCGACGCUGGCGGCGUGCCUGCUACAUGCCCGUCGAGCGAACAGAGAAGGAGCUUGCUCCUUUGACGUUAGCGGCGGACGGGUGAGUAACACGUGGGCAACCUACCUUAUAGUUUGGGAUAACUCCGGGAAACCGGGGCUAAUACCGAAUAAUCUGUUUCACCUCAUGGUGAAAUAUUGAAAGACGGUUUCGGCUGUCGCUAUAGGAUGGGCCCGCGGCGCAUUAGCUAGUUGGUGAGGUAACGGCUCACCAAGGCGACGAUGCGUAGCCGACCUGAGAGGGUGAUCGGCCACACUGGGACUGAGACACGGCCCAGACUCCUACGGGAGGCAGCAGUAGGGAAUCUUCCACAAUGGGCGAAAGCCUGAUGGAGCAACGCCGCGUGAGUGAAGAAGGAUUUCGGUUCGUAAAACUCUGUUGUAAGGGAAGAACAAGUACAGUAGUAACUGGCUGUACCUUGACGGUACCUUAUUAGAAAGCCACGGCUAACUACGUGCCAGCAGCCGCGGUAAUACGUAGGUGGCAAGCGUUGUCCGGAAUUAUUGGGCGUAAAGCGCGCGCAGGUGGUUUCUUAAGUCUGAUGUGAAAGCCCACGGCUCAACCGUGGAGGGUCAUUGGAAACUGGGAGACUUGAGUGCAGAAGAGGAUAGUGGAAUUCCAAGUGUAGCGGUGAAAUGCGUAGAGAUUUGGAGGACACCAGUGGCGAAGCGACUAUCUGUCUGUAACUGACACUGAGCGCGAAAGCGUGGGGAGCAAACAGGAUUAGAUACCCUG